rnacentral:tRNA from 1 species
GCACUGGUGGUUCAGUGGUAGAACUCUCACUUUCCAUGCGGGAGACCCGGGUUCGAUUCCCGACCAACGCA